AGAGUUUGAUCCUGGCUCAGGAUGAACGCUAGCGGCAGGCUUAAUACAUGCAAGUCGAGGGGCAACAGGGGUAGCAAUACCUGCUGGCGACCGGCAAACGGGUGCGCAACACGUACAGAACCUUCCUUUAAGCGGGGGAUAGCCCGGAGAAAUCCGGAUUAAUACCCCAUAGUAUUAUUGAUUGGCAUCAAUUGGUAAUUAAAGAUUUAUCACUUAAAGAUGGCUGUGCGUCUGAUUAGGUAGUUGGUUGAGGUAACGGCUCACCAAGCCAACGAUCAGUAACUGGUGUGAGAGCACGACCAGUCACACGGGCACUGAGACACGGGCCCGACUCCUACGGGAGGCAGCAGUAAGGAAUAUUGGUCAAUGGACGCAAGUCUGAACCAGCCAUGCCGCGUGAAGGAUGAAGGUCCUCUGGAUUGUAAACUUCUUUUAUAUGGGAAGAAAUGCCUGCUUUAUAGCGGGUUUGACGGUACCAUAGGAAUAAGCACCGGCUAACUCCGUGCCAGCAGCCGCGGUAAUACGGAGGGUGCAAGCGUUAUCCGGAUUCACUGGGUUUAAAGGGUGCGUAGGUGGGAAUGUAAGUCAGUGGUGAAAUCUCCGUGCUUAACAUGGAAACUGCCAUUGAUACUAUGUUUCUUGAAUUUUCUGGAGGUUAGCGGAAUAUGUCUGUAGCGGUGAAAUGCUUAGAUAUGACAUAGAACACCAAUUGCGAAGGCAGCUAGCUACAGGGAUAUUGACACUGAGGCACGAAAGCGUGGGGAUCAAACAGGAUUAGAUACCCUAGUAGUCC
rnacentral:rRNA from 1 species